rnacentral:misc_RNA from 1 species
CAUCAAAGUUAUCAACUGCUGUAACAGACUCAUUAGAAACCUCACAACCGUUGGGAAACUUGAUAACAUCGGAUUCCUCAGUUACCACAUCCUUAAAUUUAAGGUCAAAUAAAUACCAACACGAACUCAAGCUAAUUGAACAUUUUGCUCCCCAGUACUCCAGCUUAUCUACUGGUUGUGGCCUCGAAUAUUAAUACUCGUGUUGCAGGCUAGAAUUAUAGGAGCAAUAAAUUAGGAGAUAAACAAAACGACCAAGUUUUCCACAUAGGAAAGACAUGACAUAUAAUCUUGCACAAUCUGAAUGUAUGUAGCAUGUCCACCUGACAAUCCUGAAGCCACACUACAAGGUAGAGUGUAGAAAAGCUCUUGCAUUUCUUUCAGUGCAUGUAAACUAACAACGACAUCAAUAAUAAACAAUCAAGCAACAACCUCAGGAGUGGUUACCACAGCUGCAGCCUUAACAGAAGCAGUAGCAGCUGGUGCUGGUGCUGGUGCUGGCGCUGGAGAAGGCUUUAGGUGGGGAGGUGUGUCAUGCUUCAAUUUAAUAAGUAUCUGGCGCAUCCUCGAGAGUUCAGUUGGUUUCCCUGGCUUUGGACCUUGGAUCAC